AUGCAACCAAAGUCUGAGCUGGACAUGUAUUUGGAGGAAAAUUUCGACAGCUCCGGGGGAAGUUUUGAUAUUUUGAUAUGGUGGAAAACACAUGCUGAAAAAUAUCCCAUGCUCUCAACCAUGGCUCGUGAUUUCCUUGCAAUACCUCUUAGCACCGUGUCAUCUGAAUCAGCAUUCAGUUGCAGUGGAAGGACUUUAGGAGAUUCCCGAUGCUCGAGGACGCCCGGAACUCUUGAGGCUUUAGUUUGCGGAAAAGAUUGGCUUAUCAAAAUUCCAAAUAAUGAAGGCCCAAGUGGGACAACCUAA
rnacentral:rRNA from 1 species